rnacentral:rRNA from 1 species
GACGAACGCUGGCGGCGUGCCUAAUACAUGCAAGUCGAGCGAAUCGACAGGUGCUUGCACCUGUCGGUUAGCGGCGGACGGGUGAGUAACACGUGGGCAACCUGCCUGAAGACUGGGAUAACUUCGGGAAACCGGAGCUAAUACCGGAUAAUCCUUUUCCUCUCAUGAGGAAAAGCUGAAAGUCGGUUUACGCUGACACUUACAGAUGGGCCCGCGGCGCAUUAGCUAGUUGGUGAGGUAACGGCUCACCAAGGCGACGAUGCGUAGCCGACCUGAGAGGGUGAUCGGCCACACUGGGACUGAGACACGGCCCAGACUCCUACGGGAGGCAGCAGUAGGGAAUCUUCCGCAAUGGACGAAAGUCUGACGGAGCAACGCCGCGUGAGCGAUGAAGGCCUUCGGGUCGUAAAGCUCUGUUGUUAGGGAAGAACAAGUAUCGGAGUAACUGCCGGUACCUUGACGGUACCUAACCAGAAAGCCACGGCUAACUACGUGCCAGCCGCCGCAGUAAAAC